rnacentral:rRNA from 1 species
AUUGAACGCUGGCGGCAGGCCUAACACAUGCAAGUCGAACGAGUGGCGGACGGGUGAGUAAUCUCUGGGAAACUGCCUGAUGGAGGGGGAUAACUACUGGAAACGGUAGCUAAUCCCGCAUACCAUCAGCUGUGCCCAGAUGGGUUGAGCUAGUUGGUGGGGUAACGGCUCACCAAGGCGACGAUCCCUAGCUGGUAUGAGAGGAUGACCAGCCACACGGGAACUGGGACACGGGACAGACGCCGACGGGAGGCAGCAGUGGGAAAUAUAGCACAAUGGGCGCGAGCCUGAUGCAGCCAUGCAGCGUGUAUGAAGAAGGCCUUCGGGUUGUAAAGUACGUGCAGCGGGGAGGCGUUACCCGCAGAAGAGGCACCGGCUAACUCCGUGCCAGCAGCCGCGGUAAUUC